rnacentral:rRNA from 1 species
GACGAACGCUGGCGGCGUGCUUAACACAUGCAAGUCGAACGGAAAGGCCCUGCUUUUGUGGGGUGCUCGAGUGGCGAACGGGUGAGUAACACGUGAGUAACCUGCCCUUGACUUUGGGAUAACUUCAGGAAACUGGGGCUAAUACCGGAUAGGAGCUCCUGCUGCAUGGUGGGGGUUGGAAAGUUUCGGCGGUUGGGGAUGGACUCGCGGCUUAUCAGCUUGUUGGGGGGGUAGUUGCUGACCAAGGCUUUGACGGGUAGCCGGCCUGAGAGGGUGAACGGCGACAAUGGGCCUGAGAGACGGCCCAGAAUCCUACGGGCGGCAGCAGUCGGGAAUCUUGCACAGUGGGGGGACGCCUGAUGCGGAAACGCCGCGUGCGGGAUGACGGCCUACGGGUUGUAAACCGCUUUCGCAUGUGACGAAGCGAGCGUGACGGUAAUGGGUAAAGAAGCACCGGCUAACUACGUG